UCACCUUCCCAAUGCUGAUGUCGUCCGCUCCCCAGCCUACAGGAAGCGCUAUUGAAUUGCGACUCAGUCCGGGCGACUUUCCAUGCUGAUCCAUAGAGACCGUUUUCAUAUAUUUCUACACACAUCUCCAAGCUACAUUUGAGGAGAACAUACAGAUGGUCAUAUUAUUUUGUUCAACUAUGAUACAAGAUAGGGAGAUGAUGUGGGUUGCCAUUUUGGAACCAGAGCCUAAGCAAGAGCAUUGCAAGGCGAUAUGGGAGCUCAGAAAGUCGCCAUAAAACUACCGUUUAAGACCAGGUUGAAAGUUUGUUUGUGUUUACUGCAACUCGCAUGAUGCAGCGUGGCGGUGGCGCGGAGGACCAAGCGGGAAGUGAACCAUCAGCCUUUGAGUUACCUGUCACCCUUGGCAUCAAGAAGAUGACACCCAAGCCGUCUUACACCACAGAUAUUGGCGGUUGGUCCAGCAGGUGAAAGUUAGACAAAGAGGCAGCCAAAGAUGCACACCACCGCCACUUCCUCGCCCGCGGUUCUGUCCGCCGCCUCUGCGGCCACGGCGACGACGUCAUCCUUCUCACCCACCACCGCAGCAUCCUAGCGCUCGCACGUAGCCUUGGCGCGUCGCGGCUCCGUCGGAAUCCACCCCGUCCUGCGUAUCCACCACGCACCCGCCCUCCAGGUCACCUAGGACGACUCCUCCGCGUACGCCCUGGCCCUCAUGAAGUUACGUACGGCCAUGGCUCUGAUUCAAUUUCGGGUUGGAUGAUUUGAUCUGGUUGUAGGGGGCGGAUGCCUGAUUUUGAGCGGUCUCUGCAGCAUCUGAUCUGAUAGGGGUGGACCUCGGCAUGGAGGUGGUCGCCGAGGUUGCUGGGCAUUUCCGGCCAGCAGGCGCAGCUGCGGGAACAAGGUACACAGAUUUAGCUAGGCCCUUUCACCCGAGGGUCUGACGACACAACCUUCGCGGACGACCAAUAGGUAGCUACUGUUUGUGAGUAACUUUUUUUUCUUUUAUAAACUGCAUGGUUCUUGUGAAAAAAUAUGUUCAAAUUGUGGAUGGUUGUCUGUAGCAGAGCAUAGCACAUGCACAUAAGUAAAGCCCAAUAGGAUAGAUAUAUAACUACUAUACUAAACGUGAACAGCUUCGAUUUUUCUCAUAAUUUUGAGUUUAUUUUCUAGGUACCUGUUUUACUCACACGUGUAAUCCUGCUUAAUUUGCCUGUCCAUAUUUCUUCUUUGUGUACUUCUUGGGGCUCUACAGCGAUUUGGAAAAGUUUGGUUCGUGUGCUCCCGAAGUUGGGAUUCACUGAUGGGCUGCCUUGGUGCUUUUCUGGUGUGGCCGUAGUCAUGACCUGGUUAGGACAGCGGUGGCUAUCAUUACUAUGGGCCAUGAUAGAUCAUCAUACACCGCUUUGACUGAUGUGUGGAAACCUCUCGGCGACUCGCCUCCUUCUUCUCCUAACUCAGCUGCCAAAAAUUUCUAGAGGGCUCGAGUUCUCCCCCUGCGUCCUCUCUCGCGCUCCGCGUCGUAGCGUGUUGGGCGCGUGGGCUCACGCUCAGCAAUUUGGUGGCGGUGCCGCCGGCAAACGGUGCGGCGACAGCAGUGUCGUGGCGGUGGCGGACGGGGCACAUGGCGGCGCGGCGCUACAGAGCGACAGAGAGGGGAGGAAAGGGCUCCAGGAGAACCAGAAGCUCACGACGAGCGUGUCGGGGAGGUGGCGAGGCGGGGGGUGGUCGGAAGCUGCGGAAGACCGGAUCAAUUCUGGCAAUACGGGCUUUCCGGAUUGCUAUGCUUGGCGGAGAGGAUGCGGACGAGGUGGUGGUGCUUCCAAGCGGCCCAGUACAGCUCGAGGAGCCCGGCUGCCACGACGAUUUGCAGGCGGGGGAAGCCAGGAGACGGUCGAGGAUUUGAUGUGUGGGUAUGCCCUCCUCCAACUUUGCUCCCGCUUUUAGAAACAAUACUCCCUCAUGGCCGGCGAGGUCGUCGUGGUGCCGCCCCGUCGCCGCUGCACCAACCGGUUAUUAGGUGACAGACCCGAGUCGCCGGGAUGCGCCUCCGCGGUCCGUGGUCGUCCAAGCAGAGGGACGCGGAGAGAGGGGCGGAGAGGGACGCGGAGGGAUGGCGGAUAGGGAUGAGGAGGGAGGGCGGAGAGGGAUGCUGGGGCUUCGUCGCCGGGGCCGGUCGUCGCCUUCGCCGCCAUGUUCGUAUGGUACGGGAGAGACAAAGACGCACUUCGAUGGGUCGCCCCCUUCCUCUUGUUCCUAGCCUUUUUUCUUUGCGAUUCUCUUUCCUUGCCACACCGGUUACGAUUCUGUCUUACCUAGAAAUAUUCUCCAUAUAUUGCCUGCGACCGGCGGUUUGUCCCACGGGCCAUGCUAAUCCUGGUUUCCUGUCAGGUCUUGCUCCUCUUUCUCAUCUUUCUUUGAUUUUACCGCACUUGCAUCUCUAUGAUGAUUGACGUAUGUUAGUUCUGGUUCGUUUGACCAUUGGUGCUUGGACAAUUUACUAGGAAAUGCAUUUUAUUUGUAGGAUUCGAUUUUUUUAUUUUGUAGUGGCCAUGCUGUUGCAUUUAUUAUCUGUAAACGGCUGUUCCAACUUUGGUGCUUCAAUUGAUUAGGAGGUCAUCCCAUAUAGUUUAGUGGUGUUGGAGGAGCAUUUUUCUAUAUGAAACUACAUCUGUUGAUUCACAAUUACUCAGUUGAUUCUGAAUUCUACACCAGACUGGAAACUAUAAUCAUUUUUUGUGCCUUUUUAAAACCAUGCUUAGACCUUGACCUGGAAGUACAAAGAUUGAACACCACGGUGAACCAUUGAGAAACAGGAACCGCCUCCGCCUACUUCUCUUCCACUCUGGUUCGCCAUGUUGCUUCGCCCAGCUCUGACAGACUCCCUCUGUUGUGGUCUGGAAGACUGGAAGCAUGAAACUGGGGGCGGUCUGUACUUUGGUGCCGGAUGCUACCAAAGCUAAUUUGAUCUGGUUGAUGUUUUGGAUUUGGUAUAUUUCUUGUUCUUGCUCGCAGGUUGUAUAGACCGGGAGCCCCUCGCCACCCCUCAUUGCUCCUGUCGGCACAUACAUGGGAGGAGACGAAGGAAGAACUGGUGAGAUGAUCUCAUGGCAGGCGUAAGGUCAUGGGCUUUCUAUCUCUGCUUUGGGAGUUUUUGAUUUUUAGUGAGAUUCUUGGGUACACGCAACUGAUGGCACCGGGCUAAGAACAGUAUGGUGAUUUCAUAUGCCCACAUGGUGCUCACUGAAAUGCCUGCAAUAUUGAGUGAGUUCCUCCGCCAAUGAUUACUUAAGCAUGUCGAUUGUGAUCUCCUUCCAUGUGGCAGUAGCUCAGGGGUGGCUGCAUAUGUGCAUCUUUACUUUCUUUUUGGGGCACGCAUGAUGAAUUUGAUAUGUAGUUGUUCUUUUUUAGGCCAAUGAAGAAUGCACUAUGUCAUCUUUCAGGUUUCCUGGGUAGGUAAAGAUCAUCGAGUGUAAAUGGCGUAGUAUAAAUUAUGUGGGCCUAUGUUUUUGUCUGAUGGUCGUCAGCCUACCAUGUGUACAUUUAAAUUACUCACAUAACUUAUAUGUAGAUACUGACCCUUUCAUCAGUGAUUUGUGCGGUUAUUUGAUUUACCUAUUUAUCUCGACUUCAGUUUCAGUGAUGAAUUUAUAUUUAUUUUCUAGGAAAAUGAUGAGUUCUUACUUGAGUUGAAGGUAUCUCUGUAAGCUUUCAUAUGUUGCCGGGAUGUGUCAUUGUGUAUUAUCCUAUUUGAGAUAAAUAGAUUCAAAGUUUUCAUGUCCAGUGCACUUCUGUUAAGAAUCUGUCCAGAAUAUACUGAAGUUUUUUCAUAGUAUACAUAGUCUUUACAUUAAUUCAAUAUGGCUGAGAUAAGGUUACUGUACAGAAAAAGAAUCAAUACCAUGAUAAGUGAGUUUUACGUGAACAGUGUGUUAUCAUAGCCUUCUAAGAAAUACUUUAUAAAGCUUUAUUUCGAGGGUCCAGUCGUCAAUCAAAGCUAAAUAAAGAAUUAGAAGCCUGGUACUUGGCAUUAAGAAUACUAUGUUUGCUUUGAAAUUUAAAUCUAGGAUAAAAUUUUCUCUUGAUAGCUACUGUAUAUUUUUUCCUCCUUACCUUUACAAUUGCGCCAAAAAAAAUUGUGUAGAGUGAGCUGAGUACUCACACAAAGAUUUCUUUGGUUGGUCAUGAUGGCUUUGCCAUGCUGCAGUAGCGGUAUUUCAUUGAUUCUUGGACUCCUGAUGUGGUCAUGCAUACAAUACUCCAGCAAAAGAAAAUUUCCGCGAUUCAAAGCUAUCCAGAGGUGUUUCACUAGGAUAAUCGACCUUCCAAAUUAGCUGUUAAUUAUUUCUCACAUUCGACGUGUGUAUGAGAUAUCAGGAGUACAUUAUUGAAAGUUCAGCGAAUCUGAACUCUUUUUUGUGAAAAUAUGAACUCUUUCCUGUCACUAUAUAGAUGCAUGAAAGAAGGUGCAGCAGGUAAAUGCAUCACUGGAUUAGCUGUUCGGUUGACUGCUUUUUUUCCUUUUGCUCAUACACCAGUCUUCUUCAGUUCAGCUAAUAUAAGGUUUUUAUUUUGCGAUGUCAGUGAUGGGAGUUUGUAGUUUCUGGUGCAUACUCCUGAGUUUAUGAUUUAUUUAACCAUAUUUUUUUUGAAAGAAAUUUCUGUGACCAGAUGGUAUAUAACAAUUCCUGUUCUUGGUCUUGCUGCUAUCAGAGAAAGGUAAGAAUUUGACAACUAGGUUUACUAAUCGAUUUGAUGCAGUGGAUGAUACACGAGCUUAAAAGUUCUUGGGUCAAAUCUAUAUUUUGAUCUAAGUUUCGUUUGCAUUUUAGUUUGUCUUCCUUUCUCAAGUUUCCUUGCAAGUACUUGGUCACCAGGUACUAUCUCUAUUGCUAUUUGUAAUCUUUGAUGAAAUAACCAGGGAUGCUAAAAUGUUUGUCCUGAACAUAAGGCUUGCAUUACUGGUUGUAUCCAGAAAUAAAGGAGUUCUCCCACAUACCAGUUUAUGUCCAGGGUCUUUCGUUGUCCAUAGCAUGAUUAAUAUGUUAGUGUUCUCAAAAUAUAGUCAAGCGUAUGUGGUGGGUGGUCCACUACGAACAUAGCUGCUAUUGCGUCUCACAAUCGUGGUGGGCGGUCUAGCCCUUCCGGUAGUGCUGUGUUUGUGGCACAGGUUGUGAGCAGAGUCGGGGCCGCGCUCUGUUCAGUUUUCUCUUCCUCCUGUUCCACCUGCGAUCCAGGCGCCUUUGCAUACACAUGUCUCCUUGCCACCGGCGGCUGCCGCGCCACAGCUGCUGUCAUGGACUAAGGUGUGGUUCUCCAACUCCAGCCCAUACAAGUUGUCACUUAGAGCAGGGGAAAUGGGGGUCAAAGACAGAAAUUUCAAUUGUGAUCUUGUGCUUGGAGGAAGCCUAUAUUCAGAUUUAGGUGAAUGCAAAAUCCUGUAGUUGCUUGCUUUCUGAAGGUGGCAUCCUUGCAACAUAUGUCGGUAUGAGUUGAAAUGUUAUCAUUGUACAUGGCCAGGUUUGGGAGAUUAUUUGUUGACUUUGUAAUAUAAUGAGAGAUCAUGUUGAUAGUGUGAUGAAGCGCUGGUUCAGGCAAAGGGAUGAUAGUGUGCACUUAGGUUUCUUAUUAUUAGAUCCAUUUCUUGCUUUCUAGAUGUACAAUGGAACUUCUGUGUUGUAUGUUUUUGGCCCACACCUCAUUGUGUUGUUGCUCCUUGGAUUAUGCAUUGCCAAUAUUUCUAUUUCUUCAUUUUCAUGAUUCAUACAUGUAAACAUGAUGCUGGUUGGCUAUAGUUUCGACUCUUUUUAUUGGUUGGUUGGUUUCGUUC